rnacentral:tRNA from 2 species
UAAGGUAUUUUACUUUUAUUAGAAAA